CGUCAGAAUGAACGCUAGCGGCAUGGAUUAGGCAUGCAAGUCGAACGUGCUCCCUUCGGGGAGAAAGUGGCGAAAGGGUGAGUAACACGUGAGCAACCUGCCUCCGGAUCCGGAAUAAUCCAGGGAAACUUGGUCUAAAACCGGAUGAAGACAUUGGUCCGCAUGGUCUAAUGUUAAAAUAUUUAUAGUCCGGAGAGGGGCUCGCGGCCCAUUAGCUUGUUGGCGGGGUAAUGGCCCACCAAGGCUACGACGGGUAGGUGGUCUGAGAGGAUGGUCACCCACACUGGGACUGAGACACUGCCCAGACUCCUACGGGAGGCUGCAGUCGAGAAUCUUCCGCAAUGGGCGCAAGCCCUGACGGAGCGAUGCCGCGUGAGGGAUGAAGGCCUUCGGGUUGUAAACCUCUGUCAUCCGGGACGAAAACAAUGACGGUACCGGAAAAGGAAGCCACGGCUAACCACGUGCCAGCCGCCGC
rnacentral:rRNA from 1 species